rnacentral:lncRNA from 1 species
GGACAGGAGGAGACAAGAUAAGGUGGAGAGAAAGGAGGGCGUGAAAAUAUUUAGUCCUGCUUGGAGGAUACAACCGGGACUAAAAGGGGCCUUUAGUCCCAGUUGGAGCCACUAACCGGGACUAAACAUUUAGUCCAGGUUGGUAAUUCCAACCGGAACUAAAGUGGGGACCUUUAGUCCCAGUUGGUGUUUUCAACUAGGACUAAACGCCCCACCAGAUUCCCUCCAUUACAACCGGACUAAAGAGCCCGUCGGAGGUGGCCGUCGGUGGUUUAUUUUUGACCCAGGACUAAAGGCCUUUUAGUCCCAGGUCCAAAGACAACUGGGAUAAAAAAACGUUGAAUGGAAGAUGAGUUCUCUACAAGUGGCAGCUCCUCCUCCCAGCCCAUUCCUGCCAUUUGCUUAGCUGCCACGACGAGCCAGCAAGCGAACGUCGAAGCUCUGGUUUCUGAGGGGCAGUAGACGACGAUGCGCAGCGGCGGCACAGUCGCCACCGGAGGCCAGGCCGCGCUAGCCCGCCCACCCACCCAUGUUGCUCGUGCCCCCACCGCUCCACCUGGAAGAAAGGGAGAGGAGGAGGAGAAAAGAUAAGGAAGAAGAGAAAGAGAGCUACCUGCGCGAGAUAAGGGAGAAAGCUAGAGGAGGAGAGAAGAUAAGGUGGAGAGAGAGAGCGGGGGCGCAUGAAAAUAUUUACUCCCCAUUGGAGAAUCCAACUGGGACUAAAAGGACUUUUAGUCUCGGUUGGAGCCACCAACCGGAACUAAAGAUUUAGUCCCAGUUGGUACUUUAGUCCCGGUUAGUAAGUCCCGGUUGGAAUUUUCAACCGGGAUUAAAGCCCCACCAGAUUCCAACCGGGACUAAAGGGGGCUCUUUAGUCCCGGUUGAUAUUACCAACUGGGACUAAAGCUCCCAUCAUCAGUGGCCG